rnacentral:rRNA from 1 species
GACGAACGCUGGCGGCGUGCCUAACACAUGCAAGUCGAGCGGGAACCUCAGGAGGGGUAACCCUCCUGAGGGGAGAGCGGCGAACGGGUGAGUAACACGUGGGCAACCUGCCCCGGACACCGGGAUAACCCAGGGAAACCUGAGCUAAUACCGGAUACUCCGGCGAGAUCGCAUGGUCGCGCCGGGAAAGCUCCGACGGUCCGGGAUGGGCCCGCGGCCUAUCAGCUUGUUGGUGGGGUAACGGCCCACCAAGGCGACGACGGGUAGCUGGUCUGAGAGGACGGCCAGCCGCACUGGGACUGAGACACGGCCCAGACUCCUACGGGAGGCAGCAGUGGGGGAUCUUGCGCUAAUGCGCGAAAGCGUGACGCAGCGACGCCGCGUGGGGGAUGAAGGCCCUCGGGUUGUAAACCCCUUUCGGCAGGGACGAAGCGAAAGUGACGGUACCUGCAGAAGAAGUCCCGGCUAACUACGUGCCAGCCGCCGCCGUAACAC